GCGCUAUGCGCAAUUCUUUUUCCAUUUACGCGGGAAAAGUUAUUGAGUAAUGGCGUCCUAAUACUUUCUGUGUUUGACACGUGCUAAAAUUCCAUAAUUAUUGUAAAGAAGAUUCCAAAAAAUAAUUUCAUACGCAAUUCAAAUCUUUCGCUGAAACAGUUCAUCAUGUAGACAACGUUCACAUUCGAGCUAUUUACAAGAAAUUAAUACAAAAUCAGGACACAAUGUGUGGUGUAAGUGUUUCUUUUAUCAAUUAAACGCGAGAUUGGAAAACUACGUCGUACGAGUUUCAUCCAAACUAGAUGGUUUUAACCAACACGAGAUUGACUAAAUAUAGAUUGAAACAGAUCGGAUGCGCAUCUAUCUUCCAUUCGGGAUUCGUUCGCCAUUUACGUAUGAAGAUUAACCGCGUCGACAGCGGAGAAAAAGAGGUCGGAUGGAAUGCGACAAGCCGGCGCGUGUAACUACGUAUGCACGACUAUCCACGUGUUCACUUGCCUGGCUAGUAUGAAGAGCAGCACGGAUACGCCUAGAUAAGCUGUCGCCAUAUAAAUCCAAACAUCGAGGCUGAGCGGGCUGAGGAAUGAGAAGAGAUUCGGUGGCUGCUUUAUAGGCUUACGAUACAGUAUGCUGAUCCCUGAAAAUUUCAUACGAGGAACAACGGAGAGACUAAUCGGAUCGCACGUGAAAUAAACCGGAUGAUUCGACGCUCUGGAUUCCCGACAAACAAGGAAACACCGUCCCUGUUGUUUCCACGGGAUGAACCGCUCACGGUUCCAUCCAGCUGGCAUUAAUUGUCCUCGCUGGCCUCCCCUUGUUUCACCCUUCAUCGACGCGACCGUUCCCAACGGAGUGGAUAGAGGUUUCGACGCGAGACAACCGGAUGGGGAAAAUGAAAACAGUGGGACAGAGAUAGGAGUUCCUUCUGCCAACGUGUAAUGUGAUAAACGAGAGGGCCUGGUCUCAGUGUCGUCUUUAUGCAGGUGCACGUGCCUCCGCUUAACUAUGGCAUAACUACUGGGUCGGCGAGCUUGUGACAAACUGCAUCGUAUAAAUACAUCGCGUGAAUGCGUGCGGUUAUUUUUUACCGGAUAAGCUCUUUCGAGCACGGACGCUCGUGUGACUGAUAAAAUUUAUGCGUAUGAACUGGUCAUGUAUUAUUUAUUAUUACUGUUUAUUCGAGAUUUCUAUAUGCUGUGUCCAACAAAAGUUAUAUCUGUGAUGAUUUGUUAAUAUUAAAAUUAGCUUCUUAAGAGAUCAAAUAAGAUUCUAUAUCAAUUUUAUUAUGAUAAUUAAUUUGAAAUUUAUAAUAUUUUGCAAGUGAAGAAAUUGUAACUAUAUGUUAUGUUUUAAUAAUUAAAUAUAUUGAAAAAAAUAUAAAUAUUUUUUCACAUUGAA